rnacentral:rRNA from 1 species
AGUAUACGGUGUGACGCCUGCCCCGUGCCGGAAGGUUAAUUGAUAGGGUAAGCGUAAGCGAAGCUCAUGAUCGAAGCCACGGUAAAAGGCGGCCGUAACUAUAACGGUCCUAAGUUAUCGAAAUUCCUUUUCGGGUAAGGUCCGACCUGCUCGAAGGGCGAAAUUAUGGCCAGGCUGGCUCCAACCGAGACGCAGUGUAUUUGAUCUCUCUGUGUUGAUGCAGUGUACCCGCGGCAAGAC